UUCAUCGACUUAUCUUUGAUUUAUUUGAAGGAAAAGGUUUGUGUCAUUGUUUUUAAUAAUUUAAACUAUUUCUGAAUGCAAAAGUAUGCAAAAUGAUGGUUCACAAGACAUAACUCUUAUUAAAAGUUUUAUUAGCGUCCGUUGGCUAGUCUGUAAUGCUCAGUAAAUCUAUAUGCUUGCUUUUAAAUGAUUUAAAUAUUUCGUUUGAUCAAACGUUUUAUGAAAUAUGUCUAAAAUGGCUUGUUUUAAUAAUUUUAGAAACGUUAGAAUGUAACGUAUUCUAAUGGUUUAGAAAUUCAGUUUAAAACAGAUAAAGUUAAUAUGAGGAGGAAACGUGUACGUUUUAAAUAAAUAAUCGUUUGUUGUAAAAGUUGAAAUCAAACUGAUGCUUUUAAUAUCAUGUUUAGAUCAUGAAACUUUAGCCUUGAGUUCACAGACAGGGUGUGAACUCUCAUUUGGUCUGUAAGUUACAGACAUUUUUAUCUUUUUCAAAUGUUUUUGAUGAUGCCCACUUAAAUCACAGUUUUGGCUCUUUUCCUCAGACCCUGAUGGAUAAAAGAUGGAUAUUUUCUCCUGGAGAAGCUAAAACAAUGUCACUUUGAGGUUCUGAUACCAGCUUUUACAAAGUUAUUUACAGAGUUCACAAGACUUCUCUGUGUUAUUCCCUGACCAUGCCGAAAAGCUAUUUGAAACCUGGGCACUGCAUUUUACAGACAGAAUCCUGCAACUUCCCAGCCAAGAACCAGGAGCAUCAACAAAUCACCUACAGAACCCCAUGAUGAUAUUCCAACUCCUGUCUACAAAAGUGGGAAGAAAAUCUUAAGUUUAUGUUGGGACCAACAUGGUUGCAUUCUUCUGAGAGGCUGAGGUGACAAAACCAUUCCCAUUUGUCCUUGGAUUGGAAGAUGACGAUCUCUGCCAUCAAGCCUUCGUUGUUUUUGACAGACAGUCACUCCAGCAAUACACCCUCCUUGGUGAUGUUGACAUGCUUUAAACUUUUUUUUAUGUUUUGGACAUUCAUUUUACUAAGCAGUGCACAUCAGUGUGGGUGUUUUUGAAGACUGUUGUUUACGAACUCCCAAGAACGGAAUCCCUUUCUAUAAGAAGUCUGUGUAGUUAUUUGUCAUGCUAGGGUGAUAACUCAUGUUGAUCAUAUAUUGACUGUUUGUGCAACUUAGUGUUGAUCUUAUGUGUUACAUUAACCAUUUCUUAUUACACGGUUCUCUAAAAUGCUAGAUUCUGAUUGGCCAGUCGUGACAUUCUACUUCUGCUCAAAACUAAAAACUCCAAUGCUGCAAAUCAUUUUGACAGGUACAGUUUUAUAUUACACAAAAAUUAAAUAUCAAUGUCUAUUAAUAACAUAUCCGACAUUAAAUUUACAAAUGAUUAAACCAAUGUGUUUGUGACAUUUGUCCUGAAGAAACUGUUGGGGCUUUUUUCUGUGAUGACCUGCU